AAAACCAAACCAUCAGACUAUUUCCUAGAUAGACACUAAUGAGUAUGAAAAACGGAAAUGAAGGAGGAAAGGGUAUUCCGGUUUUUGGCUGAACAAAGGCAAAAGUCAUUGUCAACAUCUUGUGUUAAUUUCCCACAUCUGUUCAUAUUGUUCAUUGAAUUUUGAUAUCAAAAUAUCCCACUAAAGCAAAGGGCCCACGGAAUUCAGCCAGCGCAAAAGUUGAAGCAGAGUGAAGCUUCCAUCAGCAGCAGGGCAGGGUCAGGUGAAUCAGCCACACACCUGCCCGUGCCCACUAACUCAGCUGCUUGGCAUUUGGUAGCAGGUGGUUCUUGUAAUGGCAGAGGCCAUCUUAUCAGGAGCGAUUUUUCCAGCGGCUAUGCUCUGCUAGCCUUGGAGUGGAGGCCUGAUGCCAGGCGUUGCUGUCUGCUCCUGCUUCCUGCCCUGCAAGCCUGAGAGCCAUCAGCCAGUCCCAGGUUUCCUGUAAACCAGCACCCACUCUGUCCUCUUGGCCUGGCAGGCUGUUUCUCUGGCACCUUCUUGAUUUACAACUUCAAAGCUAAGUGAUGUGAUGCUUUAUCCUAGACAUUCCCUCCUCCAGCUAGGAACAAAAGCAGGCCUCCCUGCCAAAGGAGCACCUCACAGCCUUGGAACCUUUAUUCUCUCCCCAACUUUCCAUUUUAGAGCCAGAACGUUUUCAAAAUCCCAGGAGCAGACAGUGCGGUGGGGCGUGGGCUUUGCACAAGGCCCUCUUGAAUGUCAAUGCUGUGAUCCAUCCGUUCUCAAGUGAGGUCGCCUGUUUCAGAACUACUGGUUGCAGGAGCCGUUGGGGACCAAAAUCAUUUAGCAGCAAAAAUAUUCUUUCUCAGCAAAGUGCUUGGAGCUGGGCAAGAAGCUUCCAGAUGCCUCUAUCUUUCGUCCUUUCAACUGCCACUCACUCGAGAACGAUUCUUUGGAAAACGUCAGACUAGAGACAUGAUGCAAUGCAGGGACAACAGAAGGGUGCAUCCUUAUCUUGCGCAGCCCCUGACCUCACCCCUGACCUGGACGUGGGCGUCGGGGCUCUGAGCUGCUUCCCCCAGGCUGGGGUGGCCGCCCUCGGGGGAUGGUCAGGAGCCCAGCAAGUUCCUCGGGCAGGUCCAUUUCCUGGAGGGCCCUGAACAGCUUCUGACUCCAGGGAAAGGCUCUCCUAGCGAAGGGCCAGCCUGGGGAGGAAUCUGAAGUGGGGGCUCCCUGUGCCCCCCAUCUGCUGUCUAUCCUGUGCACACGGCCAGUCUCAUGGGCCUGAGCCAAGCCUCCGCUGCCUCUGUGUGCUCGACGGUCCUGGGCCGUGGCCUCUUGGCUGGCUUCCCCAUCACUUUCAUAU